GCGGUGUUGGGUAGCGGAGAGGCACCCAAAGUAACCCCCGACUGGCCUCCGGAGCCAGAGGUCGUAGGUUCGAUUCCUACCGGGCGCA
rnacentral:tRNA from 1 species